CGCAUCUACCAUCUACUGCAGGAGGCUGACGUGGAGGGCGCCCGCCGCACGCUGCAGGCCGUGCCCAGCCUGCACGAGCAGGACACGUGCGGCAGGCUGCUGCAGCUCUGCAUACAGACGCUGCGUUACUCACAUGCCUCACAACACACGCGGCGCACGAGAGAGCGCGUGGCAGAAGGCGUGGUGGCUCUGCAGCAGCUGCUCCUGCAGCGCGCCACUCCUGCCCUCCUGCAGGAGUGGCGUCUCCACCUGCACUACAUUGCUGCCAUCUCCAAACUCC